UAGCAAUACAGGUAGUAAAGUGGCGCACGGGUGAGUAAUAUGUGCGUAACCUACCUUUGAGUGGGGGAUAACACCGCGAAAGGGGUGCUAAUACCGCAUAGCGUCGCUUGGCUAAAGCCGAGUGACGAAAGGGGGCGACCCGCAAGGGGCUCCCGCUGAUUGAGGGGCGCACAUUCCAUUAGCUUGUUGGCGGGGUAACGGCCCACCAAGGCGAUGAUGGAUAGCUGGUCUGAGAGGACGGCCAGCCACACUGGCACUGAAACACGGGCCAGACUCCUACGGGAGGCAGCAGUGAGGAAUAUUGCGCAAUGGGCGAAAGCCUGACGCAGCGACGCCGCGUGGGGGACGAAGGCCUUCGGGUUGUAAACCCCUUUCGACCGGAAAGAAACGCCUCAGGGUGAACAGUCCUGGGGCCUGACGGUACCGGGAGAAGAAGCCACGGCUAACUCUGUGCCAGCAGCCGCGGUAAGACAGAGGUGGCGAGCGUUGUUCGGAUUUACUGGGCGUAAAGCGUGCGUAGGCGGUUGUGUGUGUCUGAUGUGAAAUACCGGGGCUUA
rnacentral:rRNA from 1 species